ACAAUUCGAUUUUUCAUUUUUCCAACAGACUCAGCCAUGUACAUGUAAUAAAAUCAAAAUAUGAUUAUAUAUUUUCACUUCAAAAUAAAUAAAAAAGAAAAAUAUGAAAUUUGAUUAUAUAUAGACUCUGAUUCCACCCUAAUCAAAAUGGAGUCAUUUCCCACCCAAUUCCAAUUCCACCGCCAAAACCCUACCUUUCUCUUCCACUACUCCUCCUCCAAUGGCUGCUUCUUCUACCUCUCUCAGGCUCUUCUCCUCUUCCGCUGAUCCCGACGCCCUCGUAAGCUUUGGGACUGGGAAGUCUUUAGCAAAUGCUUUCAGGCUCUCCAAGCCAUUGUCUAUGAAGGGAAAUAGGUUGCUGUUUUGGGAGAAAUUGAAAUUGAGUUGUUCGGCAGACAGAGAGAUGGAUUUGAGCUCAUCAUCAUCUUUGGUUGAUAGUGUUGCGGACUCCUUAAACGCAAUUGGGCUGAAGGAGCCAAGCGUAUCAACGAUCCUGAUGAAUCUUGAGAACGAUUUUGAUCCUUAUGAAGCAGUCAAUGCCCCGCUUUACCAGACUGCUACUUUUAAGCAGCCUUCAGCAUUAGAAAAUGGACCAUAUGACUACACUAGGAGUGGAAAUCCAACACGGGAUCUUCUUGAAAGCCUUUUGGCAAAGCUUGAUAAAGCUGAUCGUGCACUUUGCUUCACUAGUGGAAUGGCCGCUUUGGCUGCUGUAGCUCAUCUUGUUGGGACUGGUGAAGAGAUUGUUGCUGGAGAUGACCUAUACGGUGGUUCGGAUAGGUUGCUGUCAAAAGUAAUCCCAAAGACAGGAGUUGUGGUGAAAAGAGUGAAUACAAGUGACUUAGAUGAGGUUGCAUCUGCAAUUGGCCCGUGGACAAAGCUUGUGUGGCUGGAGAGUCCCACCAAUCCUCGACUAAUAAUUUCUGAUAUUCGUAAAAUAGCAGAGAUGGCUCAUGCACAUGGUGCUCUGCUGAUGGUGGAUAACAGUAUAAUGUCUCCUGUAUUGUCAAGGCCGUUGGAAUUAGGAGCAGACAUUGUUAUGCAUUCAGCUACAAAGUUCAUUGCUGGACAUAGUGAUUUAAUGGCUGGUGUAUUGGCUGUGAAAGGGGAAAGCUUGGCAAAAGAAUUGUACUUUCUACAAAAUGCCGAGGGCUCUGGUUUAGCUCCAUUUGACUGUUGGCUUUGUUUACGAGGAAUCAAGACAAUGGCAUUACGAGUUGAGAAGCAACAGGAAAAUGCACAAAAAGUUGCUGAGUUUCUCACCUCCCAUCCACGAGUAAAGAAGGUUAAUUAUGCAGGUCUUCCUGGUCAUCCUGGGCGUGCCUUACAUUAUUCUCAGGCAAAGGGUGCGGGAUCUGUGCUGAGCUUUUUGACGGGAUCACUAGCCCUAUCAAAGCAUAUUGUUGAAACUACAAAGUACUUCAGCAUAACUGUCAGUUUUGGGAGCGUGAAAUCCCUCAUAAGCAUGCCCUGCUUCAUGUCUCAUGCAAGCAUACCAGCUGAUGUGCGUGAGGCAAGAGGUCUAACUGAAGAUCUUGUUCGUAUCUCUGUGGGGAUUGAGGAUGUGGAUGAUCUUAUUGCUGAUUUAGAUAAUGCACUUAGAACGGGGCCUCAAUAAGUGUCUGAGGAUACUUUUUGAAUUAAUCAAGCUAGUUGGUCCAUAGUAUUGUAAGGAAAAAUAAAGAGGCCUUGAUCCAGUCGUAUGAAGGAAACGAGCAAGUAGAAAUGUAAAUGCAUUUUUACUCGACCUAGAGUGUCUUCUUCAUUGCGAAGUUGAUAUUCCAACUGAUUUCUUAUAUUAAUUGCAAUUUUGUUUUUCUUUUGGGUUAUAAUUUCAAUACCUUUAAAGAUCUUUUUCUUAAUCAAUGUAUUUGUGACU